CUUCUGCUGAAUUCUUUGUAGCCCAUAAUGGAAUUGGAGGUGCACAACUUUGUACAUGCCAUGCCUCAGACAGAUAAGGCCUUUUUACCUCAUCCUUUUGAUCUUGGUCUUGCCUUUUGUUGUCCUGCUGCAAACCAGAGUCUCUUCCCUGCUUUCCAGACGAGGCGGUAAGGAUGGUGCACGAAUCAAAGUACCUGAAACUUUCUUUGAAGAAGAAGAAGAUUUUUGGAUGUAAAUAGGAUUCUCUGCCAAAAGGCCUUGAUCAAAGUUAGGAGAAGGAUCAGAAUAGCACCUCAACAUUCUUGGUUUACUAGUGAGCAGUUCUCCAAAGAACCAACCUUCCUCCAAAAGAUCAUGAACAUUUUCUAGCUUUUCAUCAUCUUUAGUAGAAGAGCAGGAGGCUGGUUCAAAAGGGUCCUCAUCAGAUGGAUCCAUUGUUUUCUUUUGUUUCUGCACAAAAAUCACUCAAAUCUACCUAGUGGAAAAAUAGACCCACAUAUAUGGGAGUUCAAUUAUGGUUUGUUUUCUUUCUUUAUAUGUUCUGUUUUCUGUUUGAUAGCUGCAUAUGGGCUUGACCAUAGGUGGCUCUUGUUGUGGGGCAGGACACCAUGUGCUUUCGGCUCAUACCCAUCUUUAUUUUAUUUGACAAGUAGCAGUUUAUGAGAU